UAGCAUUUACCUGGAUGAUAUAGCGGUGUAUAUGUGAACAACAACAAGGACACAUCACCAGCCGGCGUACGACGCGAUACGGCCGCGUAUUGUUAGUGACAUGAUGGCUUGAAAUUUGAUCCAUGAAAGGGACAAUGUACAAUGUAACAUUGUACACAAUACUCGUCAUUUCCUUUCUCACCAAAGGAGGACGAGCUACCGAGUGUUACUCGUGUGAGUAUGGAAUCCGACAAUUCGACUGUCUGCAGCUACCUACCCUGACAUGUGCAGAAGGGGAGGUGUGUUACACUGAAGUUCAGAGACGGGUUCUGGAGGGCAAAAGAUAUUAUAAAGGUUGCAUGGACAGAAACAGGUGCUACAACAAAAUGAGUUUGAACGAAGACGUCUUCUGCGACACUGUCUCUAAUUACUGUACCUAUUGUUGUGAAGGUGAUAUCUGCAAUGCAUACAACACUGCCGCUGGAGGGCGCUUAAUGACGUCUACUUGGUAUAUCUGCGCAUUUAUUUUGUUUCUGAGGCUGACUAAAAUGUAUUAACUAUCAGCAGGUGUCAUUAAAUAUGUGUCGUAUGCUUAAAAUUCAUCACAUUGUAACAUAUUUUAUUCGUGCUUAUAUUAUCAAUAUGUACUUGUGAAGACUAUGUACAUGUUUAGAUAAACAUAACAGUAGGUAUCCUUCCAUUUUCCGACAAGUUGUGUAUAUCUUGGGAAAUAAAACAUUUU